rnacentral:rRNA from 1 species
CCUACGGGCGGCUGCAGUGGGGAAUAUUGCACAAUGGGCGCAAGCCUGAUGCAGCCAUGCCGCGUGUGUGAAGAAGGCCUUCGGGUUGUAAAGCACUUUCAGCGGGGAGGAAGGCGGUGAGGUUAAUAACCUCAUCGAUUGACGUUACCCGCAGAAGAAGCACCGGCUAACUCCGUGCCAGCAGCCGCGGUAAUACGGAGGGUGCAAGCGUUAAUCGGAAUUACUGGGCGUAAAGCGCACGCAGGCGGUCUGUCAAGUCGGAUGUGAAAUCCCCGGGCUCAACCUGGGAACUGCAUUCGAAACUGGCAGGCUAGAGUCUUGUAGAGGGGGGUAGAAUUCCAGGUGUAGCGGUGAAAUGCGUAGAGAUCUGGAGGAAUACCGGUGGCGAGGGCGGCCCCCUGGACAAAGACUGACGCUCAGGUGCGAAAGCGUGGGGAGCAAACAGGAUUAGAUACCCGUGUAGUC